rnacentral:rRNA from 1 species
GGGUCUACCCAUUGGUCAGGCUUAAUUGUCUGUACUGGUGAGAUGGAUCUCUACCUUCUGAGGAACUUUCAUGCCAUUUAUUUGGUGUGAUGGGAAAUCAGGACUGUUACUUUGAAAAAAUUAGAGUGUUUAAAGCAGACUAUCGUCUGAAUACAUUAGCAUGGAAUAAUGAAAUAGGACGGACUGAUUCUAUUUCGUUGGUUUCUAGGAUCACCGUA